UUGAUGGAAACCAAAUAGAGGUAUGUCACUGUUAAUGACAAAAUUGAGUUACUACUCCCAUCAAG
rnacentral:tRNA from 1 species